rnacentral:sRNA from 1 species
GACGAGCUGUUUUCCAACGCUACGGCCAGUGAAGAGCCUGAUGAGCGCUGCCGGUGCUGUGUCGAGCCCCUCAACGACAUCUUCUACGUAUGACACCUUUUCUUCCUUCAGGUACCCAGCCAUCUCCUCCUCGAACCGGUAGUACCUGUCAUAGUAGUCAAACACAUGGAAGCCCUCCAUGCGCAGGCGCUUGGUAACGAUGUAGUACAGGUUUCGCACCCCCUCGGGCUGCUCCAGGUUGUACUGCGAGAUCAUCCCACAUGCCACAAUCCGACCACCCAGACUCAUAUUAGGUAGUACUGCGUCUAGCAUUUUGCCGCCCACAUUCUCAUAGUAGAUAUCAAUACCCUCUGGAAAAUAUCUGAAAUCAACCAAAUCAACUUGAUUGAGUCAUUGAGUUUGAAUUCUAUUAGUGUUGGGAAUGCAAAGUAUAUGAGAUUGCACAAACCUUUUCGUCAUAACCAGCACUGCCGAUCACGUAGCAACCUGUGAUCUUAGCAAGCUGCCCAACAACCUGACCUACAGCACCAGAUGCUCCUGAGAUAAAGACAUAUUCACCUUUCUUUGGCUUGGGCACGUCAAAGAAUCCAGCAUAGGCGGUAAGCCCUGGCAUUCC